GGAUUAUUACGGAGAAAAAAUUGGCAUCUAUUUUGUCUUUCUCGGAUUUUACACAGAAAUGCUGUUUUUUGCAGCUAUAGUUGGCUUAGCUUGUUUUAUUUACGGCUUAUUAUCGAUGCAUGAUAACUCAAGCAGCACUGAGAUCUGUGACCCUGAGAUUGGGGGUCAGAUUAUCAUGUGCCCACUCUGUGAUGUAAUGUGUGACUAUUGGAGACUAAAUUCUACCUGUUGGGCUUCAAAGUUCUCCCAUUUAUUUGACAAUGAGUCAACAGUGUUCUUUGCAAUAUUCAUGGGAAUUUGGGUCACAUUGUUUUUGGAGUUUUGGAAACAGCGACAAGCCAGACUGGAAUAUGAGUGGGACCUGGUGGACUUUGAGGAGGAGCAGCAGCAACUCCAGCUGAGACCUGAAUUUGAAGCUAUGUGUACACAUAGGAAAAUGAAUGCAGUGACUAAGGAGGUGGAACCUUACUUGCCUUUGUGUAGUCGUAUUCCAUGGUACUUUUUAUCGGGAGCCACAGUGACUUUAUGGAUGUCUCUGGUCAUCGCGUGUAUGGUAGCUGUGAUUGUAUACCGCCUGUCAGUCUUUGCUACAUUUGCUAGCUUCAUGGAAACUGAAGCAUCCUUAAAGCAUGUCAGAAGUUUCCUCACUCCCCACAUAACCACAUCUCUCACUGGAUCAUGCUUGAACUUUAUUGUCAUCUUGAUCUUGAAUUUCUUUUAUGAAAGGAUAUCUGCCUGGAUUACAAAAAUGGAAAUUCCUCGGACUCACCAGGAGUAUGAGAGCAGUCUUACCUUGAAAAUGUUCCUGUUUCAGUUUGUAAAUUUUUACUCGUCCUGCUUCUAUGUAGCUUUCUUUAAAGGGAAGUUCGUGGGCUAUCCUGGAAAAUACACAUAUUUGUUUAAUGUGUGGAGAAGUGAAGAGUGUGAUCCUGGAGGCUGUCUAGUAGAAUUGACAACCCAGUUGACCAUCAUAAUGACUGGGAAACAGAUCUUCGGAAACAUUAAAGAAGCCAUUUAUCCCUUGGUUCUGAAUUGGUGGAGACGCCGAAAAGCUCGAACCAACUCUGAAAAGCUAUACAGUCGAUGGGAGCAGGACCAUGACCUUGAAACUUUUGGUUCUCUCGGACUAUUCUAUGAGUACUUGGAAACAGUUAUCCAGUUUGGAUUUGUUACAUUAUUUGUGGCCUCUUUUCCUUUGGCUCCUCUUCUUGCUCUCUUGAAUAAUAUAAUAGAGAUUCGAGUGGAUGCCUGGAAGCUUACUACUCAGUACAGGAGACCUGUAGCCGCUAAGGCUCAUAGCAUAGGUGUUUGGCAAGACAUUCUUUAUGGAAUGGCUGUCCUUUCUGUUGCAACUAAUGCUUUUAUUGUUGCAUUUACAUCGGACAUGAUUCCCCGUUUAGUUUACUACUAUGCCUACUCAAAAAAUGCCAUUCAGCCUAUGAAAGGGUAUGUCAAUAACAGCCUGUCAAUAUUCCUGAUAGCCGAUUUUCCAAACCACACUGUGCCUUCGGAAAAACGAGACUUCACCACUUGCAGGUACAGAGAUUACAGAAAUCCUCCUGAUCAUGAGGAGAAAUAUUUUCAUAGUAUGCAGUACUGGCACGUCCUUGCUGCUAAGAUGACCUUCAUCAUAAUUAUGGAGCAUGUUGUGUUUCUAAUGAAAUUUUUGUUGGCGUGGAUGAUCCCUGAUGUUCCAAAAGAUGUUGCGGAAAGAAUCAAGCGAGAAAAGUUAAUGACUGUCAAGAUUCUCCAUGACUUUGAGCUUAACAAACUGAAAGAGAACUUGAGAAUGAAUUCUAGUGAUUUUGCCAAGCAUCUCAUUAUUCAGGAAAACAAAGUACAGCUGGCUAAAUCAGCAACCUAAUCAACAUAACAAGUAAGCGGCUGGUUGCCUGCCUGACUUCACAGUUUUCCCUGGGUUUGGGGCCAGAAGCCAGAAGCCAUGUGUCAAUUUUACCCUUUCUUCUUUUUUGCUUAACUCAAAGUUUUUGUACACUCAUAUAGAGGCCAACUUAGUGGAGGCUGGAAGAAUACCACUUGUCUGCUUCAAUGGCUGGGCCCACCCCAGAUAUUGUUUUCUGGGGUUCUAUAAAUGAUUGUUAAAUGGAUGUGUGAAAUCAGAAUAUUGGAAGAUCAUGGGAUGUUGCAGUUUAGGAUUAAACACUGGACGUGAGCUGUCCCAUCACCUUCCAGUGCAGCUGCACAUUUUCAUGGUCUUCAUUCUAUUGGGUUGUGUUAUAUCUCUGUCCCAUGAAGAAAAGUAUUGGGACAAAAAGAAAAGAAGUGAAGAGGUUUACUGAGCCAUAUAUAUAUAUAUCCUGCCAUUUUAGACUAUGCAGAUGAAAAACCAAUAUCAGAUGACAUAAGAAAACUUACAUAUUAAAAAUAUUGGGUAAAUAUCAUGGCAGGGGUUUGUUCCCAAAAUCAUCCUGAAUAAGGUAAACUUCCAUCAGAAUUCCAGAUAGUCCUUCUAGGUAAAUACAAAAUUGAUUUUUCAAGAGACUGAACAUUUGGGUUUAAGCAAAAGACUAACAACUAAUUUCUUUAAAUAUAACAUUUCAGAAACAGUUUUAAGACUGGAUUGUGGAUUGUCUUAUCUGGGAAACAGCAUUAAGAAGAAAUGUUCCAGAAAUCAUUUGAGACUUUCUUUGAAAUAAUAUGAAGUACAAAAUCCAAAGAAAAAAAAAACCUCUUUUCAAAUGUCAUCUCAAAUUUUCACCUUCAUCAGUUUUUCUUUGCACAAAAGAAGCAGAAUCCACUUCAAAAGGAACCCAUCAAGAAGAGGGGGGUGUCUUAAUUAAAUGGAAUGCUAUCUUAUUUUUGCUGCCUCUCGUGACUCCUCUUGACUCUAACAGUCUUCUUUUAACUAAGCCAUCAAGCAAAUUAUCAAGGAAAAGGAAAAGGAAAGAAGAAGAUAAAGAAGAGGAGGGACAGAGGAAGGAGAUAAGAGUUCCCUCCUUAUGAACCUGUGUGUGCUCCUAUGGGGAGAGAGGUGUUGUGAGGUGCACUGUGCAGCUGUGGAUGCUAAGAAGAAUGUCUCUUUCCUAAAACAUCUAAUGAGGGUGAGAGAAAAGCCAAAGAAAUUUCAAGUUGAACACUAUUAUAUGUCAAAAGUAAAACUUUGAUUUCCAAGUGACUUUGUAGUGUCAGCUGCCAUGUGUAGCCCUGGGUCUCUGUUGAUUACAACAGUUGAGGCUGAGGAAUUCGUGCUGCUGAUUCAAAAGGUGAAUAUAUUGUUGUGAAAGAACAAUAUAUUCUCUUUUGUUUUUAAUCAGUACCAGUUAUUAUGUUAUCAAAGAAUGUUAUUAAGGAAAAUAGCAUUGCAAGAAGUACCAUUGGCCAGGCCUAGAUGUCUGCUCACAUGAAUCCCUAUUACUGUUAUGUUAUUUUUUUUUCUAGACAGUAUUUUACUCCACUACUUUAUGUGUAAUAAUUCAAGUAUGUCAGUUAUUCCAGGAUUAUGUAAAAAUUCAGGAGAAUAUUAAAACGUGGUUCAAUGUGUGCUAAAUACAUUCUUCCCUCUCCUAAAACUGUUCGACUAGGUGUAUCUUUCCUAUGAAAGAUUAUGCGCCAUGGUGUUAACCAAGAAAACAAGUGCUUUCUUUUCUUCUCUUUCUUUCUUUCUUCCAUUUUUUUUUGCAAGGAGGGUGGUAUGCAGGUACACAAGAAAAGUAUCUCUUAAGUUACAUAUACAUAAAUUUUAUAAAUCUCAAGAGAUUCAAAUAUGCACAAUGAAUAAAGUAAUACGUAAUUUUAAACUACA